rnacentral:lncRNA from 1 species
AUACUGUAUAUUUUAAAUAUACAAGAAAGGCUCUUUAAUUUUAACUUUUAUUCUUCCUCUUACCUAGGUCUGUGUGGCAGUGUAUUAGCAGACAUGGAAUCUCUUCUUUCUCAGCUACUAACACUGAUCAAAGCAAAAACGAAAACCACAGCAAAAAGUGUCGUUUUACCAAAAGUGCAGAAUGGUUAUCAGAUGAUCCAAACACUCGUGGAAUUGAACCUUUGUGCUUUGAAAGGAGGGGACUGUUCAGUUUACCAGAAGACUCUGAAGAACCUCGUAACGAGUGAAAGCAAAUUGGCCGGUGUUCUAAAUUCGCCGACUUCAAAAAAGGCAAACCCCAAAGCAGAUAUCCAGGACACCACCCUGCAAGUGUGUAACUCAUUCUUUGACGUGUUUGGAGAGAAGAGAUCUUGGGACAGUGUUUGGAUUGCCAUUGUUAGAUCCUUAGAGAAAAUCAUCAGCUGGGUCUGGGGAACGACGUACAACUAUGUCAACAAGAUGAAAGGUUGGAAAAUGAAUGUAAUUAAUUUAAUAAUGCUGCUAUGCAUAUGCAAUAAACUCUGGAAUUGCACAUAAUGAUUUAAAUGUUGUUUAAAAACUGCUUACUUUCUGCUUUAUGUAAAACAUUUUUCUGAAUAUCAUGAUCAGUGGCACAGGCGGGCAACAAUAAAACGAUCACAGGUAUCA